rnacentral:rRNA from 1 species
GGGCCCGCACAAGCGGUGGAGCAUGUGGUUUAAUUCGAUGAUACGCGAGGAACCUUACCAGGGCUUAAAUGUAACGGGACAGAUCUAGAGAUAGAUCCUUCUUCGGACUCAUUACAAGGUGCUGCAUGGUUGUCGUCAGCUCGUGCCGUGAGGUGUCAGGUUAAGUCCUAUAACGAGCGCAACCCCCAUCGUUAGUUGCCAACGAGUAAUGUCGGGAACUCUAACGAAACUGCCGGUGCAAACCGUGAGGAAGGUGGGGAUGACGUCAAAUCAUCACGGCCCUUACGUCCUGGGCUACACACGUGCUACAAUGGUCGGUACAGAGAGCAGCCACUACGCGAGUAGGAGCAAAUCUUUAAAACCGAUCUCAGUUCGGAUCGCAGUCUGCAACUCGACUGCGUGAAGCUGGAAUCGCUAGUAAUCGGAUAU